CUAACAAUCACAAUAAUUAGGCCUCAGUUGCAGCAAAGCUUGGUUUAGUGCAUGUAAGGACUUACCUGCUGGAAGAUUUAUGGGAAAGAGAUUUGGCAAGUGGAGAAGAAUAGUGAGACAACUCAGGGGGAGGCUCUACAUUAUAAGGGUGUGCAUAACUAUGCUAUUGUGUUGGGAUGAAAAGUACCCUUAGAUUUUACAAGCAGGAUGAGCACUGUAAUUGUUAUAGAUUUUUCAGAAUCUGUUCAGCUUUGUGAGUAGUAUAUAUAUACUUGUUCAUAUGUUUUUAAAUGGUAAUGAAAAGUUCUGUUCAAAUGUUUCACCUGUAGUCUUAAAUGAGUGUUUCCAUUUAUUCAUUCUAUAUUAAAUUAGUUCCCCAUUUGUUUUUAUUGCAAGUUUCUUGGCUGCCAGUGAGCUUAAUGUUUCUCCCACUUUAAAUGAUGCUUGAGCAUGGUAUUGUAUUUUAUAUUGGGAUGUCAUUCUCUUCUUCAGUAUGGCAUGCAGAGAUGUUAGAUGACAUGCAUCUACGUCUUCAAGCAUGCAUGCAUGCAAAUCUUCUGAGUUCCUACUUGAGAAGCAAAAAUUAUGUCUCAGUAUUCAUUAUUUUGGACGUGCCUGCAACUUUGUAUAAAGGAAGACAACCUGAUGACUCUGCUUAUUCAUCUUUUGGUGAACAAUGGGACCCUUGCAUGCUGUCCUCAAUUCAACCCAAUGAGGGGCCAACAUCUGUUGACCACCACAUAUUUGAUAUUUCAUCAUUCACCUUAUAUAUACAAGUGCAUCUCUUCUCUACACUGAUCAUCUAAACACAAAAUCUUGACUACAUUUGUAUAUACAUUUCUCAUCUCUUGCUAGUACUAAAGAUCUCAACUAGUUCUUAUAGUACUUUCAGUUUUUCUAUCCAUGGCUGAGCAGUCAAUCUUUAGCAGAAAGCAAAGAAGGUUUUGGUCAUGGCAGAGGUGUUCGAGGUACAUCCAGGAGCAGCGUACCCGCCUCUAUAUAAUAUGGAAGUGUUCAAUACUUCUACUGCAGUGGAAUGACUUGUGACGCUUUGACCUCUGAAGGAUCAUCUAGUGCAAAAGGAGGACUGUGUAACAUACAAGAAAGCUAUGCAAAAGGAGGACUAUGUAACAGACGACAAAGCUAACUUAUAGGCGGUGCUAUAUGGAUAGUUGGGCAGCAUGAGAAAUAGGAGAGCCAAAGCCAGGAAAUCUGAAAGAUGAACUCCCAGAAAGCUUGUGAUCAUGAUGAUUUACCACAGCUGCUAUGUGAAAUUUAUGUUACUUAGCAUGAUGUAGAUGUAAUCUUUUCUGUAUACCCCUCCCCUCCUCCCUUCACUAAACUUCAGUCAGGUACCACAUGCCAAAUCUACAUGCUCGAGAUGUGCUAUGAAACGGAUCAUCUGAAAUUUCACCGUUGUUUUUAGCGCAAACGGAUCCCCUGGGCUACAGCAGUGAACACUCUAGUUUCAAACUUCAAAGCUUGUGAUAAAAUAUCCCUCAAUUCAGUAA